rnacentral:rRNA from 1 species
UACGUAGGCAGCGAGCGUUGUUCGGAGUUACUGGGCGUAAAGGGUGUGUAGGCGGUUGUUUAAGUUUGGUGUGAAAUCUCCCGGCUCAACUGGGAGGGUGCGCCGAAUAACUGAAUGACUAGAGUGCGGGAGAGGAAAGUGGAAUUCCUGGUGUAGCGGUGAAAUGCGUAGAUAUCAGGAGGAACACCGGUGGUGUAGACGGCUUUCUGGACCGUAACUGACGCUGAGACACGAAAGCGUGGGUAGCAAACAGG